rnacentral:tRNA from 1 species
GUGUCUGUAGCCUAGUGGUAAAAGGCAGCACUCUAGUAAUGUUGAGGUUGUGAUUUCAAAUCCCACCAGACACA